CUGCCCGUUUAGGGUUGUGACCCAGGAGUCGCUGUGGUUAUCAACUGCGAGAGCUCAAACGGACACAUGAGAAGCAGCUUUGUUUAGCGUCCUUGACAUAACUAACCACAUAUUAACAACAGAGCCUUGUGGUAUAGAGGCUCCUGUUUGUUCAGAAUCUUAAUAGGUGGGCUUUGUGCACAUGGAUUUCUAAUACUGCUUACCCUGUAUUUUAAGUCAAAGAGGGUCUUUGUGUGAAGGAUUCUCCACCUCCUUUUCCCUUUCUACGAAGGAGGAUGAAUGCUGGUUGAAGAAGAGGAAGAGAGACAAGGAAUUGCUGGCACAAAGCUGAUCAUUCAGUGGAGUCCAUUCUCACCAUGAGAAGAACAUUCUACUGUCAGCAGGCAGAGUGAGGAUGGAGACAUCACUGAUUCACUUGGCUAGUUCCAUGUGGGCAUUCCAUGUCCAUGGAUGAAUGGAUAAGUAACUGAUCCACAAGAGGAGGG
rnacentral:lncRNA from 1 species